UACGUAAUAUGAAUUGCAGAUAUUCGUGAAUCAUCGAAUCUUUGAACGCACAUUGCGCCCUUUGGUAUUCCAAAGGGCAUGCCUGUUUGAGCGUCAUU
rnacentral:rRNA from 1 species